GCGCUGUGUGACAAAGAAUCUAUCUGGGAUUGGGAGGGGAAUCCUUCCUUACAGAAACAAUCCUAUAUAUAUAUAUUUAAAACAAUGUUGUCACUCCCCUCCCCCUCUAAAGAAAUUGUAUUUACUCCUUUUAUUUCGUACCAACCGGAGGAAAAGGGGGGGGGGGGGGGCACACAAUCGCUUCUUCUUAACGCCAAGGCGCUCCAGAGGCACGAUUUCCCCGGAAUGGCGCUGCUGGUACAACUUGAACUCCCAAAGCCAAGGCGAGGAGGCGCUUUCCUGCAUUCUCAACCCGGUGGGUCUUAUCUUUAUGGGGUUUGGGGGCAAAUACCCCCGGAUCGGGGCUUUCCUGCCACUCCUCCAUGGCCCAGACCUAGGACAGUCCCGUCCCAAAGGAGUUCGGCACGCCUUCGAACUUUCUUUGAAACCGGACCCCCUUUGAUAUCAGAUUCCAGCCUUUUGACUUUGGAAGAACCUUUUCAGGGUACACUGUAAUGACUUUAAAUCUUCAUAUCUUUUCAAACAAGACACAAUUAGCUGUUUAAUAAGAACAGGUUAAUUGAACUACAGACUUAAAAGAAAUGCAGACUUAUUUCAGCCAAAGCACUUUCCUCCUGAUAAAUUAUAAAAGAAGAGUCUGAUAUGCUGUGAUUUUAUUUUAUUAGCCACAACUCAUAAACAUGUAUGCUUCUGAUUUGCUGUCACAGUGUAUUGGUUAAGGGUAAGCAGACGUAUUGAUUAGUUUGAGUUUCUCCAUUUUCCAAUGCUAAAUAAAUUCUGAGCUCUUUCUGAAUCUUAUGUGGCUUGUAAUGGCUUUUAGGCAAAUAUAAUAAAAGGUUGACUAUUUCAAGA